rnacentral:piRNA from 1 species
UUAUAGACAGUAAUUCUUGGGGUCU